rnacentral:rRNA from 1 species
AUUGAACGCUGGCGGCAGGCCUAACACAUGCAAGUCGAACGAGUGGCGGACGGGUGAGUAAUGUCUGGGAAACUGCCCGAUGGAGGGGGAUAACUACUGUAAACGGUAGCUAAUACCGCAUACCAUCGGAUGUGCCCAGAUGGGAUUAGCUAGUAGGGGGGGUAAAGGCUCACCUAGGCGACGAUCCCUAGCUGGUCUGAGAGGAUGACCAGCCACACGUGAACUGAGACACGGUCCAGACUCACACGGGAGGCAGAAGUGGGGAAUAUUGCACAAUGGGCGCAAGCCUGAUGCAGCCAUGCCGCGUGUAUGAAGAAGGACUUCGGGUUGUAAAGUACUUUCAGCGGGGAGGCGUUACCCGCAGAAGAAGCAACGGCUAACUCCGUGCCAGCAGCCGCGGUAAUAC